GAUAAACUAUCUUUCUUUAGAGAUCCCAUCGAUAGGAAAUUUAACCUUGAUAUCGUCUUUUUGCCACCUAAGGCUAUAGUAUGUUUCAAGGGUUUGACUAUUCGUCCAUUAAAACAAUAAGUAAGAUGGGUUCGAAACGUCGUGUGGCAGUUU
rnacentral:rRNA from 1 species